rnacentral:rRNA from 1 species
UACGGAGGGAGCUAGCGUUGUUCGGAAUUAUUGGGCGUAAAGCGCGUGUAGGCGGCUUUGCAAGUCGGGUGUGAAAGCCCUCAGCUUAACUGAGGAAGUGCGCCCGAAACUGCAGAGCUUGAGUACCGGAGAGGAUGGCGGAAUUCCCCAAGUAGAGGUGAAAUUCGUAGAUAUGGGGAGGAACACCGGUGGCGAAGGCCGCCAUCUGGACGGAUACUGACGCUGAGACGCGAAAGCGUGGGUAGCAAACAGG